UACGUAGGCAGCAAGCGUUGUUCGGAGUUACUGGGCGUAAAGAGUCUGUAGGCGGUGCUCUAAAGUUUGGUGUGAAAUCUCCCCGCUUAACCGGGAGGGUGCGCCGAAGACUGGGGGUGCUGGAGUCUGGGAGAGGAAAGCGGAAUUCCUGGUGUAGCGGUGAAAUGCGUAGAUAUCAGGAGGAACACCGGUGGUGUAGACGGCUUUCUGGACCAGUACUGACGCUGAGAGACGAAAGCGUGGGGAGCAAACAGG
rnacentral:rRNA from 1 species